UCACCACUCUGGCCUCAUGGCUUAGAUCAAGUGUAGUAUCUGUUCUUAAUAGUUUAACCACUAUUAUGGGGGUCCGCCUCCGUAUUCGGUUAUCUUAUUUUUGUCGCCCUUUUCUUCCAUGCUCUGCUUGCACCGUGGAAGGAGUGAUGACCUCGCUAUUACACUGAUGGCCUGUGUCGUCGAGGGCUC
rnacentral:snRNA from 1 species